CGAGCUCGCCAGACAGUCGCCGCCGGUUUUUACCGGGGGAGGAAAGUCCGGGCUCCGCAGGGCAAGGUGCCAGGUAACUCCUGGGCGGCGUGAGCCGACGGAAAGUGCAACAGAAAGUAGACCGCCUAAGUGUUCGUGAUUCGUUCGCGGACACCGGUAAGGGUGAAACGGUGCGGUAAGAGCGCACCGCGUGGCUGGCAACAGUCCACGGCGAUGGUAAACCCCACCUGGAGCAAGACCAAAUAGGAGUCCUAUGGCGUGGCCCGCGCUGGACUCGGGUAGGUUGCUUGAGGCCUGUGGUGACGCAGGCCCUAGAUGAAUGACUGUCCAAGACAGAACCCGGCUUAUCGGCGAGCUCGCCUU
rnacentral:RNase_P_RNA from 1 species